AAUACGGAAGCCGAAAAGUAUUUAGAGUAGGCA
rfam:Polaribacter sp. Hel1_85 PHEL85b, whole genome shotgun sequence.